rnacentral:rRNA from 1 species
CGCGUAGGCGGCUUUAUAAGUCAGAUGUGAAAGCCCACGGCUUAACUGUGGAAGUGCAUUUGAAACUGUUGAAGCUUGAGUAUCGGAGGGGAGUGUGGAAUUCCCGGUGUAGAGGUGAAAUUCGUAGAGAUCGGGAGGAACACCGGUGGCGAAGGCGACACUCUGGACGAAUACUGACGCUGAGGCGCGAAAGCGUGGGAGCAAACA